GACGAACGCUGGCGGCGUGCUUAACACAUGCAAGUCGAACGGAAAGGCCCUGCUUUUGUGGGGUGCUCGAGUGGCGAACGGGUGAGUAACACGUGAGUGACCUGCCCUUGACUUUGGGAUAACUUCAGGAAACUGGGGCUAAUACCGGAUAGGAGCUCCUGCUGCAUGGUGGGGGUUGGAAAGUUUCGGCGGUUGGGGAUGGACUCGCGGCUUAUCAGCUUGUUGGUGGGGUAGGGGCUUACCAAGGCUUUGACGGGUAGCCGGCCUGAGAGGGUGACCGGCCACAUUGGGACUGAGAUACGGCCCAGACUCCUACGGGAGGCAGCAGUGGGGAAUAUUGCACAAUGGGCGGAAGCCUGAUGCAGCAACGCCGCGUGCGGGAUGACGGCCUUCGGGUUGUAAACCGCUUUCGCCUGUGACGAAGCGUGAGUGACGGUAAUGGGUAAAGAAGCACCGGCUAACUACGUG
rnacentral:rRNA from 1 species